rnacentral:rRNA from 1 species
GACGAACCGUGCAAACGUUGUUCGGAAUCACUGGGCUUAAAGGGCGCGUAGGCGGGCCGGAAAGUCUGUGGUGAAAGCCUCCAGCUUAACUGGAGAAGUGUCAUGGAUACUGCCGGUCUGGAGGAGGGUAGGGGCAUCUGGAACGCUGGGUGGAGCGGUGAAAUGCGCAGAUAUCAGGAGGAACACCGGUGGCGAAGGCGGCUUGCUGGGCCUUACCUGACGCUGAGGAGCGAAAGCGUGGGGAGCGAACAGG